CUUAGAUUUCAACAUGUGAAGGCUCAACCUGCAAAGCUUCUUAUUCUUCAAAUUGAUCUUCUUGUUCUUCGUUAUGAAUUUCCUGCCUUGCAUCUCUUUGAAUUGUUACUAUAUCUUCAAGAACUCUUGAUGUUGUGUCCAUCUUUGCUUUCAACCUAGCCAAUGUUUCAAGGUGCUUAUCUUUUUCUUGAGAUUUUUCUUCAAAUUGAACAUUUGAGCAGGUAUCAUAAGCCAAAUAGUCAGAGCUUAUUUCUGACUGAAAUAAAAAAAAAGUUCUCUAAUGUGCUAUAUAUUCCUUCUUCCUUAUUUCAAGUUCUUUCUCUUUUCGUAAAAGUUGUUUAAUGGUUUGAUAUUCAUAAAAUAAAUUGAGAGGAUAAUAUACAACGCCACCAUGUGAUUCACUCAAAUAACAUAUCUCAUCUAAAUGUACUUUGUAGACUAAUUGAUUUUAGCUUAUAGUUUUUCAAUUUCAGUAUACUACAUCAGUCUCACUGAAAAUACAAUUUAAAGCUCUUAUUAAAUACUCGUUUCUGCUUGAAACGGAUGUCAAAAUUAGUAGAAAGGGUUCUGUCAAGCAGUUGUUGAAGUGGCACUGGCGAGUCAAAUGAUAUGGCAGGUGUUGUGGUGCUUAUGUGGCAAGCAAUCAGGUGCAAAUGGGCUCACAGUAAGUAGUGUGAGCAUAUCUGGUUUAGGGGGCAGAUCUGACCCAACCUGAUGAUAUUGCACUACUAGCUUGGGCAUUGGAUGAGAAUUUCGACAGGGGGAAGGAGACAAUUGGCAGGUGGCAAGGCACAAGCGAGCUUCAAACUUCAGAAUCUGUUGGGUUCUGGUUGGGUUGCAUUCUUACCUGAUCAGAACUCUACUUCUGGGAUACCUCUGGUGGCUGAAUUUGCUUUGAAAGGAUCGUUUGGUGCCAGUGAAAGAAUGAGCGAAAGGUGGGUGUUUGGUGAAAACAGGGGUGAGGGUUAUCACGAGAGGGGAAAGAAAGGUUCAACGAGGCUAAGGAAGGGAGUAACUAGCAAUUGGGCUUGGGAACAAGAGGUUUUGAAAAGGCAAAGUACAUGAAUACUUUGAAUUACUUGUCUAGUGAAGCUUUCUCCUCUAUUCCGCAAGAUUUAGUUCCUGACCUGCAGAGGAUGAUCUCUGCAAAUGAAUCUUUCAGGCCAACAGCAAUAGAUUUUACAGGUAAAACAUAAACCUCUGGACAAUAGGCACUAGGCAUCUUCACUUAAUUCAUUUCUUGUGAAUUUUUGUAUUGUUUUUAGGUUCUAUGUUCUUCCUUUACAGGUUCUCCGUUUUUCCGGAAUGACACUAGGUUGCGUGCUCUUCGCUUCCUGGACCACAUGCUU
rnacentral:misc_RNA from 1 species